rnacentral:rRNA from 1 species
CCUACGGGAGGCAGCAGUGAGGAAUAUUGGUCAAUGGACGAGAGUCUGAACCAGCCAAGUAGCGUGAAGGAUGACUGCCCUAUGGGUUGUAAACUUCUUUUAUAUGGGAAUAAAAUGUUCCACGUGUGGGAUUUUGUAUGUACCAUAUGAAUAAGGAUCGGCUAACUCCGUGCCAGCAGCCGAGGUAAUUAGGAGGAUCCGAGCGGUAUCCGGAUUUAGUUGGUUUAAAGGGAGCGUAGGUGGAGUGGCAAGUCAGUUGUGAAAGUUUGCGGCUCAACCGUAGAAUUGCAGUUGAAACUGGCGGUCUUGAGUACAGUAGAGGUGGGCGGAAUGCGUGGUGUAGCGGUGAAAUGCUUAGAUAUCACGAAGAACUCCGAUUGCGAAGGCAGCUCACUGGACUGCAACUGACACUGAGGCUCGAAAGUGUGGGUAUCAAACAGGAUUAGAUACCCUAGUAGUC